rnacentral:tRNA from 1 species
GCGGUCUUAGUAUAGAGGUUAGUAUUUCUGGCUUCCAACCAGAGGGCACGGGUUCGACUCCCGUAGACCGCUCCA